rnacentral:rRNA from 1 species
GACGAACGCUGGCGGCGUGCUUAACACAUGCAAGUCGAGCGGUAAGGCCCUUUCGGGGGUACACGAGCGGCGAACGGGUGAGUAACACGUGGGUGACCUGCCCUCAGCUCUGGGAUAAGCCUGGGAAACCGGGUCUAAUACCGGAUAUGACUCCAUGACGCAUGUUGUGGGGUGGAAAGCCUUGUGCGGCUGAGGAUGGGCCCGCGGCCUAUCAGCUUGUCGGUGGGGUGAUGGCCUACCAAGGCGACGACGGGUAGCCGGCCUGAGAGGGCGACCGGCCACACUGGGACUGAGACACGGCCCAGACUCCUACGGGAGGCAGCAGUGGGGAAUCUUGCGCAAUGGGCGAAAGCCUGACGCAGCGACGCCGCGUGAGGGAUGACGGCCUCGG